CGACGUCACCGCAGCCUGCGACCAAUCAGCGGCUCGCGGUCCCUCUGUAAACCAUUCUGCAUCCCCCGGCCGGGGAGAGUGCCGGGAGACCGCGUUUAGAGGAUCAGUGGCGGCCGCAUCCGCCGCCCGGCGCGGUGCGGGCGGCGGGCAGCGAGGUGCCCGAGCCCCUCCUGCUCCGCAAGAAAGGAAAGAGCAAGGUGUAGCUGAUUAGCAAGUUAAUUAUUUCAGUAUCCCAAGGGUUCCGGUUUAGUGGUAAGUUGCCCAGCCCUGGUGUAAUUUCACAGUCCGUGCAUUUCCUGGUGAGCACCUGGGGCGCCCGGGUCUGUCUCUCUCUCCAACCACCAGCCUCCUGUCUUCUUGACACACCUGGGGAGAUGGGCAGGGCUGAAGAGGAAGAUGGCACAGUGCACACAUUUGGCCUGGGCCGCACGUGGGGGGCCAGCAAGAGAACACAGUGGAGGAAUCCUCUACCGCCACUGGGUGUUUAAUUAUCUGGCCUUUCCUUUUUUUUUUUUUUUUUUAAUCUUUUGUUUAAUAAAUAUUAAUGAAGCAGAUUAUCAGAAAGUGGAGGAGCUAUGAGGUUAUUUUCUCCACACUCAGUGUGCAGAGCCACCAGGCACGAGGGGGGCCCUUUUGCCUCUCCCUCCUCCGAGCCCUUGCCAAUCUCUCCAGCAGUCAGGUUUGCUUUCUUAACUCUGCCCACCACUUGGUCUGCGAAGGCCUCCUCUAGUCUGACUUCAAGGUCUGAUUUCCCCUUGCGGGAGAGGAUUGUGUGGUCAAAUGGACGAUUCCCUCUGAGAGAUAAGUUGGGGAUAUGAGCAUGAGCCCCAGAACCAGCAGCUUCGGCCACUCUGCUCUCCAGGGCUGGAAGGGCCAGCCCCCUGCCGCUCCUCCUGAGGUGGACGGAGGGAGGGCUCUGCCGUUUACUUAAGACUGGUCCCAUCUGCUCAGACUGGCCUUUCAUAAGGGGAGGGAUUUAUGCAGUGUCCUUGUGCACAGACCUGGGAUUUGCCCGAAAACCUCGGACCUCCGAGAAUAUUGUUGAACGCUAAAAUGUUCAGCCACGGAGAUGAUUUACGAUUUGUCUGCAUGGACAGGGUGUGUGUGUGUGUGUGUGUGUGUGUGUGUGUCUUUGUUGGGGAGAGGCACAAACAUUGAUGGGUGCUUUUCACCAUUCCUACUUCUAAAUCCAAACAUUAGGAAACUUCUUUUUCUGUAUUUAACUCAGGAAGCAGCCCACGACAUCAGGCUCUGGAGAGCCAACUUCUUGACUUCAGUGAUGUGAAGAUGGUCUAAUACGUUUUUGGUGCCGGCAAGCAGCUGUCCCCCAAGCAGGGGAAUUUCUCCAGAGUCUGUGGUGCCCGGAGGACAUGGCCGGGGCACCCCACAACUCGCCACAGUCCUUCAUCCAGUGUACAGGACCUCAGGGAGCACUCAGUGAAUCCUGCCAACUGAAUCCAGGAGAAAAGCAGAGACAUCACCCUUCGCAUUAAUACCAGGAGCAUAUCUCCAAAUAACAGUGACAACUCAAACACGCCCUUCUCCUGUUUCCAACUUCUUCCAAGUGGAGUGGGGAUUCGAAACCAGCCCAACUGUCCACACACUGCCUGGCACAUGCUCUCAAUCUGGGGCGCGGCUUUGAAAGAAGGUUGCUAAGCCUGCUAAAUCCUAGUGCACACCAACACCCCAUUCAUCUGGAAACCUGGCAGAGUGGCAAGCAUGCAUGUGCACAUGCUCAAGUUGUGGGGAGGGGCAGAGAGAGAGAGAGAGAAUCUUCACCCGCCUCCAGUAAGCCUGAUGCAGGGCUCUAUCUCACAACCCUGAGAUCAUGACCUGAGCUGAAAUCAAGAGUUGGAUGCUUAACUGACUGAGCCACCCAGGUUCUGUAUCAUAUGGCCAGGCCCAUUGCCCAAGACGAUAUUCAUAGAGAAUCUGCUUCAGGCACAAAGACACAGUCCUGUCACCAUCCCUCAUGGGACUUAAUUUCAACCCUCUUCACCCUCUUUCUUGCCCUCCCUGCGCUUGUUCCCUUUUGUCCAAAAACCUCUUGAGAUGCGGCAUUGGAACAGGAUAAGACUAUCACCUUCCUUUGCCUAGAACCUAGAAUCUGGGUUGGAAUCCAAGACCACGUUAUUGGGGCCCAUAUCUCAACCCUAGGAAACAUUUUACCGUGGGAGACAAAGUGGGGAAUGGGCAAAAUUCUUCUUAAAUUCUGUUUUACAUUUAAAUAAAGUCUGCCAAGGGGCACCUGGGUAGCUCAGUCGGGUGUAUCCGACUCUUGAUUCCAGCUCAGGUUAUGAUCUUGGGGUCAUGAGAUUGAGUCCUGAGUUGGGGUCUGUGCUGAGCGUGGGGCCUGCUUGGGAUUCUCUCUUUCCUUUUCCUUCUGCCCCUCCCCCUGCUUGCACUCUCCCUCUAAAACAAGGAAAAAAAAGUCUGUUCAAAAAAUCCUACCAUAAACAAAGUCCAAACACAAAUGAUAAGCUGGGGAAAAGUUAUUUGUAACUCAUAUCGUGGGCUAAUUUCCUUAAUAGAUAAAGAGAAUCCACAAAUCAAUAUGAGAAAGAUCUACAACCUGAAAGAAAUAGGAGCAAAGGAUAGCAGGAAAUUGACAGAGAAGGACCUGAAAAUUGUUCUUAAAUAUAUGAAAAGAUGUUUAACUUCAUUCAUCAUAAGAGUAAUGCAGAAUUUUUCACCUGUCACAUUACAUUGGCAAAGAUCAAAAAGUGUGAUAACGUUCUGUCAGUCAAGGGAAAGGAAACAGACACUCUCCUAUAUUGUGGGGGCAAACUGGAGAAAUCUCUCUGGGGGGAAAUGUGGCUUUAUCUGCUAAAAUUUAAACAUGCAGAAACAUUUUGAUUUGGGAUUCCACCUCUAGGAAUGUAUCCUGCAGACUGACUGACGCAUGCAGGUCAGAAGAUGUGCUCAACAAGGGCGGAAACUUUCUCCUAUUUUGUCACUUCUCUCUCUCUGGCACCUGGAUGGCUGCCCAGGACAUAGUAGAUACUCAAAAAAUGUCUACUGAAUGAAUGAAUGAAUGAAUGAAUAUGGAAAAGGACACAUAUUCAAAGUUAUUUGUUGCAAAAUUUUUGGUAAGAGCCAAAACCCAGAAAUAAUGUAGAUGUCUAACUACCAUGGAAUAGUAUAUUGGUGUUAAGAAGAUCAGGGCAGCUCUCCAUGUACCGAUCCGUAAGAACCUCCAAGAUAUUAAUCUUAUUAAGUGAGAAAAGCAGGGUGUAGAAAAAUGUGCAUAAUAAGAGCACAUCUAGAUAUUUGCUUCUCUCUCUAAGAACAUCUCUGGAAGGAAGCUCCCAAGGCAGCCAUCAUGCUUGCUUCUCGGUAGAGGAACUGGGAUCGUGGAGGAUGGUGUUAGGAGUAGCUUUACUUUUCAGUGUAUUCUCUUAGAUUCCUUUAAUUGUAGGUCAGACGAAAGUACUACCUAUUCAAAUAAACAAAUACAAUUCACAAUUUAAAAGGAGCUGGGGGGCACCUGGGUGGCUCAGUGGGUUAAGUGCCUGCCUUCAGCUCAGGUCACCAUCCCAGGGUCCUGGGAUCGAGCCCCAUAUCAGGCUCCCCGCUCAGUGGGGAUCCUGCUUCUCUUGCUAUCUCUGUUGUUAUCUCUGUCUCUCUCUCAAAUAAAUAAAAUC